GAUGAACGCUGGCGGCGUGCCUAAUACAUGCCAGUCGAGCGAACAGACGAGGAGCUUGCUCCUCUGACGUUAGCGGCGGACGGGUGAGUAACACGUGGAUAACCUACCUAUAAGACUGGGAUAACUUCGGGAAACCGGAGCUAAUACCGGAUAAUAUAUUGAACCGCAUGGUUCAAUAGUGAAAGACGGUUUUGCUGUCACUUAUAGAUGGAUCCGCGCCGCAUUAGCUAGUUGGUAAGGUAACGGCUUACCAAGGCAACGAUGCGUAGCCGACCUGAGAGGGUGAUCGGCUACACUGGAACUGAGACACGGUCCAGACUCCUACGGGAGGCAGCAGUAGGGAAUCUUCCGCAAUGGGCGAAAGCCUGACGGAGCAACGCCGCGUGAGUGAUGAAGGUCUUCGGAUCGUAAAACUCUGUUAUUAGGGAAGAACAAAUGUGUAAGUAACUAUGCACGUCUUGACGGUACCUAAUCAGAAAGCCACGGCUAACUACGUG
rnacentral:rRNA from 1 species